GAUGACUGGCUUGUGGCAGCCGAGCGUUCAUAGCGACAUUGCUUUUUGAUCCUUCGAUGUCGGUUUUUUCUAUCAUACUGAAGCAGAGUUCAGUAAUCUUUGAAUUGCUCACCCAUUAUUCCCUUUGAUAAGGAACGUGGGAUGGGUUUACACCGUUGUGAGACAGGUU
rnacentral:ncRNA from 1 species